GAUGAACGCUGGCGGCGUGCCUAAUACAUGCAAGUCGAGCGAACGGACGAGAAGCUUGCUUCUCUGAUGUUAGCGGCGGACGGGUGAGUAACACGUGGAUACCCUACCUAUAAGACUGGGAUCACUUCGGGAAACCGUAUCUUAUACCGGAUAAUAUUUUGAACCGCAUGGUUCAAAAGUGAAAGACGGUCUUGCUGUCACUUAUAGAUGCAUCCGCGCUGCAUUAGCUAGUUGGUAAGGUAACGGCUUACCAAGGCAACGAUGCAUAGCCGACCUGAGAGGGUGAUCGGCCACACUGGAACUGAGACACGGUCCAGACUCCUACGGGAGGCAGCAGUAGGGAAUCUUCCGCAAUGGGCGAAAGCCUGACGGAGCAACGCCGCGUGAGUGAUGAAGGUCUUCGGAUCGUAAAACUCUGUUAUUAGGGAAGAACAUAUGUGUAAGUAACUGUGCACAUCUUGACGGUACCUGAUCAGAAAGCCACGGCUAACUACGUG
rnacentral:rRNA from 1 species